GAAAGAAAUAAAAAAGAAUGAAGAAAAAAAGAAGGAAGAAAGGAAGAUAAUGGCAAGUCCAAAAUGGUGGUUAGCUGUGAAAUGGGACUUUUCACAUUUCAUACAUGCAGACUACGCUUACAUGAAGCCAGUUACUGUUUGAUUUUUAUUUUGAUUUCCCCUUCUUAGCUGUUCUAAAUAGACCUAAUAUAUUGAAAAAGGUAGGGCUUAGUCAAAACUCACUGAGCUCACAUUGUAAUUGAAAAUGCUAAGAUAAAUAAACCUAGUAGUUUAUAUUAUUCAAGCAAUUUUUUACAGUGAUGACUAAACUCUGCCGAGCCUGCAUUCCUUUCACGUGGCCUCUGUUGUGAGACAGCUGGCCUGGGUUAGAAGGCACAAACUGGUGACAAGACAAAGUAAAAUGAGUGGCUCAUUUGGGGGAAUUCUAGUUUAUUUGCUCCCAAAGCAACCAGUCACAUACCAUUAAACAUACAUGUGGCCAUUAACCACCUCUCUUAGUGAUACCUAACCUAAAAUAAAAUUACAGUCUUCUGUUUUGUCCCUAAAUAUAUCUUUAGACAAAAAUUAAGUUCAAAGCUAGUUAGUAUUUAAGUAUGAAAAUUAUUUUAAAAAAGAAAGAGAAGAGCAAAGCUGGUAACAUAUUAAAAAGCUGCCCUUUAUUCAUAAAAGAUUGGGUAAACAAGCUGCACAAGGCAUCACAAUAGAUUUUAAAAAAUGACACAGAUGAACUGUUUGUGGUAUAUUAUAGAUUAUUGCUUUGUGAGAGAAAAUGCUUGUAAAAGGGGCUUGGGUAAAGACAUACGGAUUAUUUGGAUAUAAUCAUGUCACAAUCAUGGAAAAUAGGUGAGACUAUUUGUAACUCUUCAAAUAAUAGGAAGUAUAUGGAAGGUUAUGAGUAUAGUACAUACAAACAGUAUUACAAGCAUUAAUUGAAAAUUGUGUAUAUGGUUUACAUUGAAAAAUGAUUGUAUCUUUUCAGUGAAAGGCCAGGUCCUAGAUAUUCUAAGCCAGUAGAUCUCAACUGGGGACAAUUUUGCUCUCCAACCCCAACUUUGGGGACAUCUGUCAAAACUGGAGACAUUUUUGAUUGUCACAACUUGGGCAGGGGGUAGGACUGGCAUGUAGUGAAUGCUGCUAAAUAUCCUACAAUGCACAGGACAGACCCUCACAACAAAGAAUUAUCCAGCCCCAAAUGUCAAUAGUGUCUAUGUGGGGAAACCUUGGCCUAAAGUGAAUAUAUCGAUACUUCAUAAUAACUUUAGCUAAAAUAGAGGGAAAAAAUUCAUAAAGAAUAUCAUCUUGAGGCCUGAGCACGGUGGCUCAUGCCUGUAAUCCCAGUACUCUGGGAGGCUGAAGCUGGUGGAUCUCUUACAGCCAGGAGUUUGAGACCAGCCUGGCCAACAUGGCAAAAUCCCAUCUCUACUAAAACACAAAAAUUAGCCAGGCAUGGUGGUGCACACCUGUAAUCCCAGCUACUCGGGAGGCUGAGGCACAAGAAUAUGUUGAACCCGGGAGGUGGAGGUUGCAGUGAGAUUGCACCACUGAACUCCAGCCUGGGUGACAAAGCAAGACUUUGUAUUUUUAAAAAAAAAAAAAAAAUAGUGUGAAUGUGUAAAGAAAUGUGUAUGUAUGUGAAUGUAUGGGAGUUUAAGAAAGUAAGAGAUGACUUGACCAAAACAGGUGUGGUUGAAAAGAAAAAAUAAUAAAAGUGACACAUAUGAAAUAUUACUUAAUUGUCAUAAAACGAAAAGAUAUGAAUUAUAGAAAUUUUGUUAAUUUGGUCAAAAUCAACACAGGCACUUAGAUUCUCUGGUCACAGUAUUCAGAGAAAGCAUUCCUGUGUAAUAGAAGCCAUCCUUCCAUAGGGAAAUUUCUAAGGGGAAAGCUAUAGCCAUACAGUUCUAGGAACAUAAGGAACCAGAUUUUCCUAAAUAGUUUCUGCAAACUAUGACACUGGGAAGAAGGAAGCUUGUGACAACCAAGUUUAUUGCCACACAAAAGUAUCUUCAGAAUUCAAAAUGGAUUAAAUGGUCAAGAGGCUGGUUGAUGUUAUUGAAGAGGGCAAUAUGGCAAGCCUAAUUCAAAUCACACUUGCUGAAAGAGUUGCUUGAGAGAAGGGAGGAAAGAAAGGAAGACAGGACAAUUAAAUCAGUGAUGGUACAAAGAAUGGAGGUGUGUCUUUAAAUCCCAAACAUCCAAUUUCUUUGUAAGCAAGCUGAGUCCCA
rnacentral:lncRNA from 10 species